rnacentral:rRNA from 1 species
GAUGAACGCUGGCGGUAUGCCUAACACAUGCAAGUCGUACGAGAGUUUUUAACUCUAGUGGCGGACGGGUGAGUAACACGUGAGAAUUUGCCUUUGGUUCGGAAUAGCCCCGGGAAACUGGGAGUAAUACCGGAUGAGCCCUUCGGGGGAAAGAUUUAUCGCCAAAGGAUCGGCCCGCGUUGGAUUAGGUAGUUGGUGGGGUAAUGGCCUACCAAGCCGACGAUCCAUAGCUGGUUUGAGAGGAUGAUCAGCCACACUGGGACUGAGACACGGCCCAGACUCCUACGGGAGGCAGCAGUGGGGAAUCUUAGACAAUGGGGGAAACCCUGAUCUAGCCAUGCCGCGUGAUCGAUGAAGGCCUUAGGGUUGUAAAGAUCUUUCAGGUGGGAAGAUAAUGACUGUACCACCAGAAGAAGCCCCGGCUAACUCCGUG